GACGUAGGGUCCGAGCGUUGUCCGGAUUUACUGGGCGUAAAGAGCGCGUAGGCGGUCCGUUAAGUGUAGAGUGAAACCUCCAGGCUCAACCUGGAGUCGCCACUCGAUACUGCUGUGACUAGAGUCCGGUAGGGGAGCGUGGAAUUCCUGGUGUAGCGGUGAAAUGCGCAGAUAUCAGGAGGAACACCGGUGGCGAAGGCGGGUCUCUGGGCCGGUACCGACGCUGAGGAGCGAAAGCGUGGGGAGCGAACAGG
rnacentral:rRNA from 1 species